UUCACCCUUGUAAAGUGGACUGAAAAAUCUUCCUGACAUACGGCACUGUACAGAACCUAUGAUGAUCAAGAAAAAAAAAUUGAUUUAAUUGAAGGAUACUGUUUAUGAAUUUGACUACUGCAAACGUGUUUUUUGUUGAACCUUCGUAGUUAUUUUUUUAAAGUGGAAUUAAGACUGCUACAAUUUUGGCACCCAUAAUCAUUUUUCGCUUCGAAAAUCCGUUUUCGAAUAAUUAAGGAUCAUGUAAAGGGAUUUUUUUUGCUAUCAUCUUCGUACUCUAUUUAAUUCCGGUUAAUGACCUCAAGUGUUAAUCUUCUGUGCUGCUACUCUUUUUAGUUGAAUAGGUAAUAUUUAUAUAUCGUAACCUUUUUUUUCUCUCUCCCUCUUUAUUGUGGUCGAUAUUAUAUUUAUAUUUUAGUGACAAUUAGUGAUUCUAAUGGGAGAAUCCGUUUGGGAUUCCCCUUUCAUUACCUUGUCAUCUGUUAUAGAGGAAAACUUUUUCUCAGUUGUUGUACAAACAGCAAAAAUACUUUAUAUUUUUUCCCAAGAACGCGGUUCUUCUUGGAGCAAAUAAAACCCUUCUUGAGGAUAAAGACAGGGACACGAUUUUUCUUCGUUCCUCAGUUAAAAUCCCUGUUGCUCAUAAGGUAACAGAAAAUAAAUUGCAAACAAUGUCUUAUAGUAGUGUUGGAACCACACCCCUGAACAAAACUAAUGUAAAUCGUUCGAGCGUCUUUUCAAUAUAAAGUUAAUGAUUGUGAAUGAAUGAAAGUUAAUGUUAAUGAAAAGUGUGUGACAAGGCAUUGCGAUCUAUUCUUGAACCUUUUUGUUAGAUCAUCCCUUUUGGCAUUGGAAAUUCAUCCACUACUGAAAAGUCAUAUUUGAAAAAAAUCUCUAUUUUUAAUUAUUCAAGGUUUCAAAAUUGUAAAAGUUCGGAUUGAAUAAUCAAUGUAAAGGGAAAUCUAAGGAACGCCCCUUCUUUGAUUCUUUAGGGGCGGAGAUUGAUUCUUUAGAAUUCAUCGGACAGACGCAACAAUGUGGAAAUUGUUUUAUGUUUGGACAUUAUAGGUUUAAUUGCAAGGGGAAAAAAUAGUCUGGCUGCUAUUCUAAGUCGUGGAUGAUUUCAAGAAUUGGAAGAUCCAAAUAAGGAUAUAAAAACAAAGUCUGUGAGCAAAAAGCUGAUAGUGUUAUUUUGCCGUUACAAUUAUUUUAUAAUGGCACUCAAGAAAGUUAGAUUGUUGAUGAUAAUAGGGAAUUUUCUUCAACAAAGCUCACUUAUAAACGAAUCAUCAGCCUACAUUUCAAACUGUGGGGAUAAAGAGAAAUCAGAAUGUGUUGAUGGGAAAUUACAUCACAUGUUGAAAUUCAUUUACGAUCCUUCAAGACCUUAUUAAGUAUAAAAACCUUUAAUAAGGGAGUAUGCAGUUUCGUUGGCUCGAAUCAAAUCUCAAUCAUUAAACAAAAGAAACAGACUUGAUUUAAACAGCAAUCUAAAUUCAAACCUCGAUACUUCGAACCAUAAGAAGAAGACGAGAAACGAUUUAACUCAUUAAAUGACUGAUAAUCAAUUGAAAGAUACCGAACAAAAUAAUACUUUUAGUAAUUGAAAUGUUGAAAAGAAUAUGGGUAAUAGAAAGAUCCUGUUGCUAAAUAGGAGAGGAGUCAAGAAUCACUUAUCACGCCACGCUUUAAGGAAAAGAUUUUUAUUAUUUUAGCUUUGAUGUUAUAUGUCCUCAGGACAUCAAAGCUAACGAAAGUAUCCUUGUUAUGUAAGAAUGAUUGCACCUUCUGUAUUGCAAGGCAGUUUAACUGUUUUUUUAACGGCUAAGGUACAAAUCAAGGAGUUCUAUCCUUGGUUUAAUCAUCUCUUAAUGAUCCCACAUGUCCAAAUCCUACUCUAGUGCAAGUGACUGGAAUAAAAUUUUAAUAUCCAAUGAAUAGGCUAAAUUAAUGCAUAUGGUACUAAUGGUUUUUUUUAAAGCCCAAUAGACAUAUCUUUAUUUAUAAUUCUGACAAAAACAGCUAUUCUUUAGCAUAUCCAUUUUUGCUUUGAUGAAGUAAAAGGAUUUUUAAAUAGUAUUUUUGCAUCGAAGUUAACCAUUUGGGAGAUAUAGUCAGUCCAACCGUUUGGUUAGCAGCUUUUCCGCUGAGGUUUCUCCCUGACCUAGUAGUUCGGUUCUUAUUCUUUUAUUUUUUAUUGUUUCCAGAGCUAUAAAAAAAGGAGUUGGUGGACCAAAACGCCUAGUUUUUUUGUACUGAGGAAUACUGAAGUAGUCCUCCUGUGAGUUACAAAGUUUGACAGGCCAACUCUUCGUUAAUUCCAAAGCCAGAGUUCUCCAGCGGUGGUAAUAUUGAAGUGUAUUCAUGUUAUAAUCAUAAUAAAGAGUCAAUCAUUCUUCUAGGUCAUUAUUAACAAUUGUAAAGGUAAUAAUUUACCAAUCUUACUCGUGGGAAACCUUAACAUUGACUUACAUUUGUUGCAGCAACUCAUAUCAAAAUUUAAGAUUUCUGGAGAAAAUUAUAUGAGAAGUAAAUUUGAUUGAGUUAACAGCCAAUUUUCGUAAUUACAUUAACAUUAUGGUCGUCCAGACCCCUCACGCUUAAACUAAUAAAUCAUCUCAGAAUAUGUAAUUUUGGACCUUCGGAAAAAGCGUGUCUAAUAGUAAUAAAUAAUUUACCACAAUUUUUCAUGUAAUUCCACUGAAAAAGAUUAUCAGACCAAAGUUUUUCCUCCAAUAUGGCAUCUUACACCAAUAUUGGUAAAGAGGUAGCCUUAUCCAAAACAUUUGGAAUGAGAAAAGUGUUGUAAAGAUCUAUUCUUUUUUCAAACGUAAAAACUGAGACAGCCUUUGAUAAAAUUAUUGACUCUCGCUUUUAGUUCCAGCCAAUUUAAUUCUGAGGGGCGAUCUUUUCUCUGCAUGUCGUAAAUAUAUUUCCAUCAAUCCCCUCCGGACUAGAGGCCUUAUUGUCUUUAAAGUUUUUCCUAAUGUAUUCAGAUAAUAUCUCGUUAGGGAAGAUCGAGGUUAUUUUCCUUUUCCUUUUACGGAAAUUACUUCUGAUCCCUACGAUGAACUUCUGGAAGGUUUUACGAAAUGCCAUUAAUGUUCUCUCGCUUUCUUAUAGUUUUACCACCUUACUUUAUUCUCUUUAUUACUGAGGCUGAGUAAUUAUUUUUGUUGGUAAGGUUUUUAAUUCUUUGAAGAGGAUUAUUUUCCUUUUCUAUUUUAGACAUAGCAUCUAACCGUUUCCUCAAUCCGGAAGGAUUUAUAAAACACAAAAGGUAUAUUUCGUUAAAAAAGUUAAUCCACGUUCAAGGUAUGGUCCAAAUUAUCGUUAAAAUUAACCCUCACUUUUCUCUUUUCACUAAUGUAGCUUCUGACAGAACUAUAUAUUGUGCAUUUAAGGGAAACCCAUAUUUUUUUUCUUCAGAAAAUGAAGAAUGAAAACUAUUUGCUGUGUUAAUUUGCAUUUUAUUUAUGCAUUUUUUCAUCAUAAAUCAACCUGAAAGGGAGUUUCUGGGGCUUUGAAGAAGUUUCGAGUACGAAAUUAAACACUAUCAUCCUGUGAUCGUAUAAUGGUUCAGAACAAUAGAAGGCAUACUUAGUAUUUUUAUAGAUGAAUUUUGACACAAGUGCUAAAUCAAUUUGUGACGUUGAUCUGCCUCUUCUGCAUCACACACUAUUACUGGGGCUAAAAUUGGCUGUUAAGUCAUUCAAAUUUAAUUCACAUAAGUACAAAGAAACUAGGCGUUUUGGACAAUAACUCCUUUUUUGGUAGCUCUGAAAAUAAUAAAAAUUUAAAAAAUGACAACGAUACUACUAGGUAGGGCAGAAACCUCAGCUGAAAAACGGCAAAAAUGAGAAGAUCAAUCUUAAACAAAUAAAUACCGAACAUCACAACAGGAACACAAAGAAAAAUAUUUCCAAUUCUGCUUAAAAAAAUUAAGGAACGCUACUCGCGUAUUGGUCUUGAAUCCUCCUAUUAAGUCUUCCUCGGAACUUUGCUUUAGCAGUCAAAGGUUUAGAAAAAGUUUUAUUAUUGAGGGGAAUAGAAAAAACAAAUCUAUUUCAAUAUAUAACCUUAUGUAUUUUAUAUUAAUAUCAUUAAGGGGAUUUUCUGGUUUUUCUAAACUGUUCUUCUUUUCCAUUUUUUCUAUCGCUUGUAAUUGUUUAUGAAGGUCAAUAAUAAAUAAGAAAGAGCAUUUUCAGAACUGUUAUAAUUAUAAUCUAGUAUAGACAUGGUAAAUGAAUUUAAAUUGUAAAUAAAAGUAGUCCAGAUGUGCAUAUCAUAAAUUAUGCUUCAUAGAGGGCGUUUUGAUAUUUAAGACACCUUCGAAGGUCGAAUAAAUUAAAUUAAUUUAACUUUCUAAAUCAGACAAUUCAAAUUAAACAAGCAUGAUUUGCACAAGGAAAAAGAGGGAAAA
rnacentral:lncRNA from 1 species